AAUAAGUGUAGUUUUGCACUAUUCACAUUCAACGUUUAACUAUUCGUUUUAUUUAAAAAUUUUUUUAUUAGUAUUUUUAUUGCUAUUAGAUGAUAAACAUAAAUAGUACUUUAUGUGUGACUAAAUAUUUUUAAAUUUUUUGCAAAUUUUUCAAAUAAAACGGACGGUCAAACGUUGGGCACAAAUAUCCACGGCUGCACUUAUU
rfam:Oryza glaberrima chromosome 1 Oglab01_unplaced072_12, whole genome shotgun sequence.